rnacentral:rRNA from 1 species
GCGGGGCGUCCGAAGUCGCUGAGCAAACCGCAAGGAGGCAGACGCCCACGGUAUGACCGAUGAUUGGGGUGAAGUCGUAACAAGGUAGCCGUAGGUGAACCUGCAGAAGGAUCA